rnacentral:rRNA from 1 species
AUGGCCGGCUGGACCGAUUCCGGCGGCAGCCGAGGGCGAGGAGGAGGAGGCGGCGGCGGCGGCUUCGCAAACCGCGGCGGCGGCAACGCCAACAACAACACCAUGUGGAGAGAGAGAACGCCACCGCAGCCGCAGCCGCAGCCUCAGCCGCCGCCGCAGCAGCAGCAACAGCAACAGCAUCACCACCAACAACAGCACCAUCAGCAGCAGCAGCAUCGCUACCGUCCUGUCAACCACAAUGACCACUCCUCGCAGCACCCGCGCCACCCACCGGCGGGGGAGCUGGACCGACACCAAGGGCAGGGAGGCUCCUCCACUUCCACCCGGCGCCUGCGGCCAAAUCGUCCACCACAGCCUCGCCCCACCUUCACAGACCACAAGCCGUCUCCUACCUCCACACCCAAUGCCAACGAACCCGACGACAAGGCCAGGCGCAAUGCUGCCAAUUUCGAGUGCAACGUCUGCUUCGACAUGGCGGACGACCCCGUCGUCACCAAGUGCGGCCAUCUCUUCUGCUGGGACUGCCUCUACCAGUGGCUCCAUGUCCACUCCAACCACCGCGAGUGCCCUGUCUGCAAGGGCCAGGUCGCUGACGAUGCCAUUAUACCCAUCUAUGGACGUGGCGGCUCUGCAGCGUCUGUUCACGCCGCACCGCCGAGGCCCACUGGGGCCAGAGUUGAAAGCUCCAGACAGCAGCAGCUGCAGCAGUUUGCUGCUUCCAACUUGAAUAUGAUGAUGGACGAAGAUGAUGAAGACGACGACCCCUUUCUCGAGGAGAUUAGUCUUCGCUUUGGAGUUAACUCGCUGAGAGGUGGUAUGAUGAUCAUACCCGAUGAUGACAUCGAACAAGAUUAUGAUGACUACACUGAUCCCUACCUCCACCGCAACUUUGAUGAGGAGCCAGAUUUUGGUUACCGUGGUGGUCGGCGUCAGCGCGGGAGAGCAAGAGGAACAACAUCUGCAGAUCAUUUCAACGAUCACAUCGUUGGCAUGGUGUUGGGCAGUAGCUUGAGGAUCGAGGACAGCAGCGGUGCAUCUUACCGUGACACCGCUGCUGGUCCUCAUCAUAGUACUAAUACAGGUGGUUCCUCUCGGCCUAAUGGUGGAUCGACCGAGAGACGAGGAAGAAGCAACCGUAAUUCGAAUUCCGGUGGUGGAAGAGGAACGCAUAAUAGCAGGAGGCAAGGAGCAAAUUACAAUUGA